GGGGAGGAGCCGGUUUUACCCGGAGGCGCGGGUCCUGCGGUCGGUGCCGCGCCGGUCACCCAGGCCCUGGGACCGCUGCCAGGGAGCGCGGCGGGGCGGCCAGGUGGCCGCGCGGGGUCUCCGAGCCGAUAGAGGCCGAGCGUGGGGAGCCUGCAGGGGUGAUCGGCGUGGCCGCGCACUGGGCCGUAGCGGUCUGAGGGAUCCGGGCUUCUGGGCGCUGAAACAGGUCCCUGGCGGAGGGGCCCAGACCCUGAGCUUGGGCACCCAUGGGCCAGGCAGCUGCCUAGUACUCGCCGCACGCCGGGCAGUGAGGGUCCGCGGCGCUCUGUGGGCCACCUUGUGGAGUCACGGGGCGAUCACUGCCUACCUGGCUGCCGGGAGGAGCCCAGGCCCCAAGCCCGGAGACACACUCACUGUCCCAGAUUCCUUCUGGGACUGGGAGCAGGCCGAGGCCAGAAACUGAAGCGCAGACAGGGAAGUGAGCCUCUUCACCUCCCUUAUGCUGGAGGACAGGGUGAGGGCACAGGAGCAUCUCAGGGCCACAGUGAUCUGGCUUUUCUGCAGGUGAAGCAUGGAGCCCAGCUAUGGAAUUCCGAGACAUAAUUCCAUUUUGGCCUCCAGUCACAAUUGAGACCUCAAUGAUCGGGUGAUGCUGUGAUUCUCCAGGACAAGAAACAUCCUGGGAGCUGAAAACAUCCUGGGAGCUGAAAACAUCCUGGGAGGAACAAACAUCUACUCAGUUCCUCCUUGUUCUUGGAUUGUUACAUCUUGUUUACCCGGAAGUACUGAACUCUCUGCAAGUCAUUUGUUACAUUUGUUUCUCCCAAUGUACUGAAUAAAAUGUGCG
ensembl:lncRNA